AAACUGAAGAGUUUGAUCAUGGCUCAGAUUGAACGCUGGCGGCAGGCCUAACACAUGCAAGUCGAACGGUAACAGGAAGCAGCUUGCUGCUU
rnacentral:rRNA from 1 species